rnacentral:RNase_P_RNA from 1 species
GGGUGCAGGAGGACUGCUGACAGACUUCGAGUCUGAGGAAAGUCCCCUCUCCAUAGUGCAGGCGGAUGACAGAAGUCAGACACAGAGAUGGGUCGGUUAAUGGUGCAGAAACGAAUGAUUAGUGGUGUGUACAAUGAAUCCGGAAGGAAGAGAUUACCAUUUUGUCAAUGAGACGAGCAACCCCGCUGGAGCAAGUCCAAACAGUCCCAUAAAUGCGGCACGUAUAGGGACAGGUAGGAUGCUUAGUUGAAUGCAGUCGCCGUAAGGUAACAGAAAGGGGCUUACUCCCUGCACCC